rnacentral:rRNA from 1 species
CCGGAGCUUGCUCCACCGAAAGAAAAAGAGUGGCGAACGGGUGAGUAACACGUGGGUAACCUGCCCAUCAGAAGGGGAUAACACUUGGAAACAGGUGCUAAUACCGUAUAACACUAUUUUCCGCAUGGAAGAAAGUUGAAAGGCGCUUUUGCGUCACUGAUGGAUGGACCCGCGGUGCAUUAGCUAGUUGGUGAGGUAACGGCUCACCAAGGCAACGAUGCAUAGCCGACCUGAGAGGGUGAUCGGCCACACUGGGACUGAGACACGGCCCAGACUCCUACGGGAGGCAGCAGUAGGGAAUCUUCGGCAAUGGACGAAAGUCUGACCGAGCAACGCCGCGUGAGUGAAGAAGGUUUUCGGAUCGUAAAACUCUGUUGUUAGAGAAGAACAAGGAUGAGAGUAAAAUGUUCAUCCCUUGACGGUAUCUAACCAGAAAGCCACGGCUAACUACGUGCCAGCAGCCGCGGUAAUACGUAGGUGGCAAGCGUUGUCCGGAUUUAUUGGGCGUAAAGCGAGCGCAGGCGGUUUCUUAAGUCUGAUGUGAAAGCCCCCGGCUCAACCGGGGAGGGUCAUUGGAAACUGGGAGACUUGAGUGCAGAAGAGGAGAGUGGAAUUCCAUGUGUAGCGGUGAAAUGCGUAGAUAUAUGGAGGAACACCAGUGGCGAA